AUUGAACGCUGGCGGAAUGCUUUACACAUGCAAGUCGAGCGGCAGCGCGGGGCAACCUGGCGGCGAGCGGCGAACGGGUGAGUAAUACAUCGGAACGUACCCAGUUGUGGGGGAUAGCCCGGCGAAAGCCGGAUUAAUACCGCAUACGACCUGAGGGUGAAAGGGGGGGAUCGCAAGACCUCUCGCAGUUGGAGCGGCCGAUGGCGGAUUAGCUAGUUGGCGGGGUAACGGCCCACCAAGGCGACGAUGUCUAGCUGGUCUGAGAGGAUGAUCAGCCACACUGGGACUGAGACACGGCCCAGACUCCUACGGGAGGCAGCAGUAGGGAAUAUUGGACAAUGGGGGAACCCUGAUCCAGCCAUGCCGCGUGAGGGAAGAAGGUCCUCUGGAUUGUAAACCUCUUUUGGCAGGAAACAAACCUGCGCUAUACGCGCAGCUGAGGUACCUGCAGAAUAAGCACCGGCUAACUCCGUGCCAGCAGCCGCGG
rnacentral:rRNA from 1 species